UUUCCGUAGGUGAACCUGCGGAAGGAUCAUUACCACACCUAAAAAAACUUUCCACGUGAACCGUAUCAACCCCUUUAAUUUGGGGGCUUGUUCGGCGGCGUGCGUGCUGGCCUGUAAUGGGUCGGCGUGCUGCUGCUGGGCGGGCUCUAUCAUGGGCGAGCGUUUGGGCUUCGGCUCGAGCUAGUAGCUAUCACUUUUAAACUCCUUUCUUAAAAAACUGAACAUACUGUGGGGACGAAAGUCUCUGCUUUUAACUAGAUAGCAACUUUCAGCAGUGGAUGUCUAGGCUCGCACAUCGAUGAAGAACGCUGCGAACUGCGAUACGUAAUGCGAAUUGCAGGAUUCAGUGAGUCAUCGAAAUUUUGAACGCAUAUUGCACUUCCGGGUUAGUCCUGGGAGUAUGCCUGUAUCAGUGUCCGUACAUCAACCUUGGUUUUCUUCCUUCCGUGUAGUCGGUGGAGGAUAUGCCAGACGUGAAGUGUCUUGCUAGCGGUCUUUCGAGUCUGCCKGUGAGUCCUUUGAAAUGUACUGAACUGUACUCUCUCUUUGUCCGAAAAGCGUGGCGUUGCUGGUUGUGGAGGCUGCCYGUGUGGCCAGUCGGCGACCGGUUUGUUAGCUGUGGCGUUUAAUGGAGGAGUGUUCGAUUCGCGGUAUGGUUGGCUUCGGCUGAACAAUCUGCUUAUUGGGUGCUUUUCCUGUCAUUGGCGGUACGAACUGGUGAACCGUAGCUAUGUGGUGCUUGGCUUUUGAACCGGCUUUGCUUUGCGAAGUAGGGUGGCAGUUUCGGCUGUCGAGGGGUCGAUCCAUUUUGGGAAACUUUGUGUGUGCGGCUUCGUGCUGCGUGCAUCUCAAUUGGACCUGAUAUCAGGCAAGAUUACCCGCUGAACUUAA
rnacentral:rRNA from 1 species